rnacentral:rRNA from 1 species
AGAGACCGGCGCACGGGUGCGUAACGCGUAUGCAAUCUACCUUUUACAGAGGGAUAGCCCAGAGAAAUUUGGAUUAAUACCUCAUAGUAUAGCUGAAUCGCAUGAUUCUACUAUUAAAGUCACAACGGUAAAAGAUGAGCAUGCGUCCCAUUAGCUAGUUGGUAAGGUAACGGCUUACCAAGGCUACGAUGGGUAGGGGUCCUGAGAGGGAGAUCCCCCACACUGGUACUGAGACACGGACCAGACUCCUACGGGAGGCAGCAGUGAGGAAUAUUGGACAAUGGGCGCAAGCCUGAUCCAGCCAUGCCGCGUGCAGGAUGACGGUCCUAUGGAUUGUAAACUGCUUUUAUACGAGAAGAAACACUGCUUCGUGAAGCAGCUUGACGGUAUCGUAAGAAUAAGGAUCGGCUAACUCCGUGCCAGCAGCCGCGGUAAUACGGAGGAUCCAAGCGUUAUCCGGAAUCAUUGGGUUUAAAGGGUCCGUAGGCGGUUUAAUAAGUCAGUGGUGAAAGCCCAUCGCUCAACGGUGGAACGGCCAUUGAUACUGUUAAACUUGAAUUAUUAGGAAGUAACUAGAAUAUGUAGUGUAGCGGUGAAAUGCUUAGAGAUUACAUGGAAUACCAAUUGCGAAGGCAGGUUACUACUAAUGGAUUGACGCUGAUGGACGAAAGCGUGGGUAGCGAACAGGAUUAGAUACCCUGGUAGUCCACGCCGUAAACGAUGGAUACUAGCUGUUGGGAGCAAUUUCAGUGGCUA